UUGCAAACUCGAUCACUGGCUCUGCAUGACGUUGCAGAAGCAAGGGGAACCAGGUUUGCAAAAGUAAUUGUGGUGAUAGAAGUUUAUUUGCCUCGGAAUUGAAAUUUUCCAGGCACCUUGUUCUAUCCUAAGACAAGA
rnacentral:snoRNA from 2 species